rnacentral:rRNA from 1 species
UACGAAGGGAGCUAGCGUUGUUCGGAAUCACUGGGCGUAAAGCGCACGUAGGCGGAUUUGUUAGUCAGAGGUGAAAUCCCGGGGCUCAACCUCGGAACUGCCUUUGAUACUGCAAGUCUUGAGUCCGAGAGAGGUGGGUGGAAUUCCUAGUGGAGAGGUGAAAUUCGUAGAUAUUAGGAAGAACACCGGUGGCGAAGGCGGCCCACUGGCUCGGUACUGACGCUGAGGUGCGAAAGCGUGGGGAGCAAACAGG